CCUACGGGAGGCAGCAGUGAGGAAUAUUGGUCAAUGGACGAGAGUCUGAACCAGCCAAGUAGCGUGAAGGAUGACUGCCCUAUGGGUUGUAAACUUCUUUUAUAUGGGAAUAAAAUGUUCCACGUGUGGGCUUUUGUAUGUACCAUAUGAAUAAGGAUCGGCUAACUCCGUGCCAGCAGCCGCGGUAAUACGGAGGAUCCGAGCGUUAUCCGGAUUUAUUGGGUUUAAAGGGAGCGUAGGUGGAUUGUUAAGUCAGUUGUGAAAGUUUGGGGCUCAACCGUAAAAUUGCAGUUGAAACUGGCAGUCUUGAGUACAGUAGAGGUGGGCGGAAUUCGUGGUGUAGCGGUGAAAUGCUUAGAUAUCACGAAGAACUCCGAUUGCGAAGGCAGCUCACUGGACUGCAACUGACGCUGAGGCUCGAAAGUGUGGGUAUCAAACAGGAUUAGAUACCCGUGUAGUC
rnacentral:rRNA from 1 species